rnacentral:rRNA from 1 species
CAAUAGCGUAUAUUAAAGUUGUUGUAGUUAAAAAGCUCGUAGUUGAAUUUUUGCUUGCCGCCGAUGUCGGAACUUCCGUACGUUCGGCGGCGUGCAUCCUUGGGUGGAACCUGUGUGGCAUUAGGUUGUCGUGCAGGGGAUGCUCAUCGUUUACUGUGAAAAAAUUAGAGUGUUCAAAGCAGGCUUACGCCGUUGAAUAUAUUAGCAUGGAAUAAUAAGAUAGGACCUUGGUACUAUUUUGUUGGUUUGCGCACCGAGGUAAUGAUUAACAGGGACAGUUGGGGGUAUUCGUAUUCCAUUGUCAGAGGUGAAAUUCUUGGAUUUCUGGAAGACGAACUACUGCGAAAGCAUUUACCAAGGAUGUUUNCAUUA